AAUCAACGCUGGCGGCGUGCCUAACACAUGCAAGUCGAGCGCGAAAGCGGGGCAACUCGCAAGUAGAGCGGCGAACGGGUGAGUAACGCGUGGGUGAUCUACCUCCGAGUGGGGAACAACAUCGGGAAACUGGUGCUAAUACCGCAUGACAUCCUCGGGUCAUACUGAGGAUCAAAGCCGGGGACCGCAAGGCCUGGCGCUUGGAGAGGAGCCCCGCGUCCGAUAGCUAGUUGGCGGGGUAACGGCCCACCAAGGCGACGAUCGGUAGCCGGCCUGAGAGGGCGGACGGCCACACUGGGACUGAGACACGGCCCAGACUCC
rnacentral:rRNA from 1 species